ensembl:lncRNA
UGUCAUGCCUCUCUCUCUCUCUCUCUCUCUUUUUUUUUUCCUUUUAAUAUUUUCUUUGGAGGGCAGAUUUACUUUUGUAAUUAGAAUUUGCAUUUUUUCCAUUUGGGGUUCGUUGAGAUGUGUGCUUCUUCCUCUGCAUCUGUGCUGCAGAGAACAGUAGCAGCAAAAAGGAGAUAGAAAUUCUACUUUAAAGAAAUUCUGCUUUUUAAAAUUCAAAAGCAAAAAGGGUCACUGGUUACUUUUAUAUGAUUAUUUAUUGGAAUAUCUACUUCCCCUGCUUUGACCAGCAGUGUAAGAUGCUCCUGAUGUUAGGUAUGUAUAGGUUAGGUAUGCAGUGGUGUUUCUCAUUCUUCACUCGUGGCAGAGGAACCUAUAUUCUCAUUUAUCCACCCUGCAAGGAGGUGAAGGUCUUGCUAGGAAGCUUUCCUGUCUUUUCAGUUCCUCCCAUCUGGCUGAGGAAGCCGAAGUCAUCAGGGGGUGUCAAACAAGAAGGGAAGCAGAGAUUUCAGCGAUUUCUGUGUGGGCAGCAGGGUGGGGAAGGGAUUAGUGCUGAGCAUUAGGGAAUCCAGAGUAACGUGUUAAUUGGUAGGUUUGGAUUGAGACUGAAGUUUGUUAGUAAAGUCAGGCAUUACUUAUGUGGUCCUGUUUUAAGGAAUAACAGUCUUAAAGAAGGACAUUGUAAGGGAAGCAUGUCUUGAAGCAGAAGAUUAAUUCACAGCUGGUUUUCAAGCACUCAUUUGAUUUACAGGCUUUUUAAAGCAGAUGCUUUCAUUUAAUUUAGUGCUACAUAUUUUCCACGUUUAUAGCCAAAAUCUCACUGCAGUUUAAGACGCACUCGACUGAAGUGACGCUUCUAAAUCCAGUAGGGCAGUUUUGCUGGAAGUUAACACCACUGAGUUGCAGAGCGUCUGCAGUUAAUGUUAAUUCUUGUACUUCUCUUGUCUUGGGACUGUGAUAUUAAAUAUUUAAAAUGUGUGCCCAGUCUUCUAGGUGAGGGUGUGCGUGCAGUUUGGAAUGCAUUUAAAUAAAUAGUAGCUAUGUUGACCUGCACUCCUACUUGUUUUCCUGUAGCUGGAAGUGAGAACCUAAUUAUGCACAGCGUUUGCAUAAAACAAGGCUUCCUUGUUCACCAGCUGCAUUUCUAAUGCUGGAAGACAAUCAUUAGGAUUUUCUGUUUUGAACUGUGUUGGGAGUAAGGCUAUCCCAGCAGCCUUCAGGGGCCAAAGGGGACAAAAGGCCACACAAGUAAAGCCAAGAGUUGUGGAGUUGAAGCCAUUGAUUCCCCUGGUGCUCGGGCUGUGGGCAGGCAGAGCCGUGGGACCUUCCUUUUGCAGUGGGAUCCUCUCCAGCAUAGCAGUGUGAGUGGAGGUUGUAGAGGAGUUUUCUGGAUUUUCAUGGUGCCAAUGUGCACCUUCAUGAGAUGAAACAAGAUUUACUCAUCAAUUUUGUUUUUUUCUAUUUGAAAGACAAAGUCCCAUCAGUCUCCUUUGCCUCUGGUCUCCACACUCAGUCUCUGUGCCAGGCACUGGAGCCAACCUUGCAGCAGGGUACUGCUAGACUUGACAGCAGGAGCGAAGGGAGGAGGCCUGAUACACACGUGUCCGGUGAAUUGCCCCUUCUAUUUCCUUGCUGAAAAGUAUUCUUCUUCUUCUACUGAAAAGUAAAGAUGUUUGGUCCUUUUGCCAGUAAUUCAAGUUGCUGCAUUAUUGGGCCAGUGGGGUGCAGUCCCUUCUCUGCUGUAGGUCUGUGCUAGGAAUCGUGCAGUCCAGUGCCAAAUGAAACGUCUAUAUCUCUUUGGCUUUGGCAGCACCUUCUGUUGCACUGAGAUGCUAAAUGCUCACUAGGAGGAAUAAAUACAAGCAACAGCUGCUGCCACUUCUGAAUGUGGUGUUCUGUUCUUGCCAGGUCAGUAAAAUGAGACCAUAUCCAUUUACUGAAAAAAGUAUAUCCAGUCACCAAGGCAGCAGGGACAAUACCGAGCAAACCCUUGCUUUUUACUUCCUGGAGCUACGGCACCGAGAUCAGAGCUGUUCUGUAAAGCAGUAUCCAUUCAGAGCACUGGUAGUACACACUGGUACUGCACAGUGCUGAAUGGUGUGGGUGUGUUGCAGUGCCUCAUCCACUGAGCGGGCUGUGGGACACAGAGCCCCACGUUCCACCUGUCACCAUUUCCAGAGGUAGAGGAGCGUGGCAAGGCUUGGCAGAGCUGGGCUGCUUGGAUUCUCAGGGUGCUGACAGGUGGAAAUUUGCCCCUUGCUGAUGCUCUUUAAAGCUCACGUUGGUUUGGAGCAACAGGUUUCUUAUCGUGCCAAGAAUACAGCAGACCGGUUAGGUGUAGGGAAAUAAUCCUAACAGAAACCACACUUGACAUUUUUAUCACGUUACGUUGAACUACGUGGGGUUACCCAAUGUGCAAAUCUGUUAAAGACUUCAUGGCUUCCUCUGAAUGUGAAUCAUCCCUUUAAAGCUGGAAUUGAGCCUCUGAGGGCAGGAGCUGCACGCUGCGGCACUCGUUCAGAGAACGGGUCACCUCCUCAUCUUCUUUCCUGACAGCAAAUUGUCUCAAUUCUUCUCAUAUUCCACAGCCUCUCAUUGAGCCCUUUGCACAAACAGCCGUGGUUUGCAGCUGCAGCCCUGAUGCAUUCAGAUUUCUGAAAACUUGGAAAAGGGUACAAGGGAGCACGUGCAGAAUAUUAUUUUACUUCAGAAAUAUUAAAAUUCAUUGUGGUAAGCAUCAAUGAAUCUGCAUUUGGAAACAAAAGGCAACUUUCAGAAGCCAUUGUCCAACUGCCAGGGAUUGCAAUAUGGAAGGUGCGUGGCAGCUGCUUUUUCAGACAAGCACGUGAGUCUGACACAAAGGCAGCAGGAUCUGUACCUGGAAGUAGCAGUGACUGAGGAAAUGGAAAAGGUGGUGGAAGAUGUCUGUCAUACACAUCUGAACCUGUGAGCUCUUAGGCAGGGAUGGAAAUGUCGGCAUCAUCCAGCUUCCAGAGAUCCAAUGCUGCUGUGGUGAGAGCAGCACCCCAGGGUGCUGAGCUCUGCUGAGAGAGCAAUGCUGGGCCUGCUGCUGCACAGCCUGCGUGGGCACGGCCCUUACUAGGGCUUCAAUGAAUGCCUUAGGUUGGAAGGGACCUCAAGGAUCAUGAAGCUCCAACCCCCCUGCUGCAUGCAGGGCCACCAGCCUCCAUAUCUAAUACUAGACCAGGUUGCCCAGGGCCCCAUCCAACCUGGCCUUGAACACCUCCAGGGAUGGGGAAUCCACAAUAGAAUCAUAGAAUGGUUUGGGUUGGAAGGGACCGUUCAUCCAAAAAGCAGCAUUCUGCUGUAGAUUCUAUGGACAGUCCUUGGAUGGUGCAGAAAAAAACCCAAAAGGUACAAGUCCGCGUCAGCUGUAGAAAUAUUGUUUUCAGCUCCUUUUUUGUGGUGCGUGGGGUUUUAUUGAUUUGUUGUUGUGGAGAUAUAUGCAAAGAUGCUCGUGGGAUGCUCUGGGGGAAAUUAGUUUGCCUCUGAAACUCCAUUAAUUUGUGAUGCAUUGAGUUUUCAGCUAUCUGGAGACAAAAGUAAUGAAUACAACGAAUAUGGAUGACCGUGUAGGAAUGGUUGUCAAAAAUGUAGAAGAAAAAAAAGUAAUUGGGAAAUGACCAUCGGUGCCCCUGCAGCUCUGCAGCCCUGUGCAGCGUUUAAAGGCAAAGCUGUUUCUGUGAUGGGAAGAUCUGCUUUCACAAGUCUGAACUGUGCCGGUAAGGUCGCCCAUAGGCUGCGUUGCUGUGCUCCAGAGCCGUCGGUGGACACUGCAGGGCACGCUGCACAGCCGGGCUGGCGGGCGGCCCUCUGGCUCCAGGCAGGGCAGCAGGCAGUGUGUGCUUGGACUAGAGAAGCUGUGUGAUGUGCUGUGAUCCCAGCAGGUCAGUCUCACCCCAACAGCCACAACUGCGUGGCCCAAACACGGUGUGCCCUGGGGACAAAGCGAGGCGAGGAGAGGCAGCUGUGUGCAGCUGCAUUUGUGUAGCAGCCUGAACCCACUGCACGGGUCAAAUGGAACUGCUGUGCACAAGGGAAAGGCAGAGGCUGCCUAGGCUGUGUUGAGCUUGUUUUUGUGGCUCAGUAACAGAACUGGCUUCUAAGGUACCAGAAGGGAAAGAACAGAAAAGGAGGGAAGGGAACUCAGUCCGGGGUAAGAGAUGUUCUCAGUAAAGAGUGCAAAGAAAUGAGGGAGGUGAUGGAGGAGGGAUUCCAGACACCAGAACUGGUUCCUGCUUGCCAGCAGUGCUCCGGGUCACUGAAGCGAUCUGAGCAGCAGCACAGCCACCCGUGCUCAGCCCCAUUGGCUCGUGCACACCGGCACCGUGGGCUGAGGUCUGUGUGUCCCUGUGCUGUGCUUGGUGCCCUGUUAUUGCGGGGGGAUUCCUGCAGAUGGGGCAGAGCUCCCCAGUGGGGAAAUGCUCCGCAGCCUUUUCAAACCCCCACAGCGCUAAAUGCAAAUUUCCUGAGAGAAGUGUAAGUACAGCAUGUUCAGGUUUGUAGGGCAUAAAACGGACCAAAAAGCUGCUGCUGUUGUAUGUAUAUACCCUGAAGGUCUUUGCGGCGUGGUGCAAAAAAGGUGAAGUUGCACAGACUGUCACGAGAGGGAGUUGCAGCACAAGCCUGGGAGCUGCACUUCUGCUCGUUGCCUUUGCUUCCAGGGCGUGCUGUCUGCAUGCCUAGCGUGGGGAAGCUGCUCUUGUUCUUGCUGAUGGAGUUUUCUUUGGUUCACUCUGCACAUGAAAUUAGUGAGGGCCAAAUAUUUGGUGAGAAAUGUAUUUCUGGUUGGAUGAAGCUUUGGAAUAUUUUAAUGCUUUUUUAAGGCUUGUAAAACCUUUUUGAAUUAAUAAGCAAUUUAUUCAGGUAGUUUUUAAACUGUACGUAUUCCCCAUCACAGAGGAUUCAUUGAAAUGGAUAAAUGUGAAUUACAGAAAAGGUAUGGAACAAAGCUGCAUCCUGUGUGCUCCCACAAGUAGAUGAACCACAAAUGGAGGCGGUUGUUUCUGCAGCUCUAUGGAAUCCAGGCAGAUGCAUGCACCAGCUGCCUGGAAGAGAAGGGAG